UCACAGGUGGUAAGAUAUUGCAAGCUUAGUAAGGUCAAAAAAAGGAAAGGAAAGGAAUACAGGAAAAGGUCAUGAAAAAAAAGGUCAAAGGUGGUAAGAUAUUGCAAGCUUAGUAAGGUCAAAAAAAGGAAAGGAAAGGAAUACAGGAAAAGGUCAUGAAAAAAAAGGUCAGAGGUGGUAAGAUGUUGCAAGCUUAGUAAGGUCAAAAAAAGGAAAGGAAAGGAAUACAGGAAAAGGUCAUGAAAGAAAAGGUCAGAGGUGGUAAGAUGUUGCAAGCUUAGUAAGGUCAAAAAAAGGAAAGGAAAGGAAUACAGGAAAAGGUCAUGAAAGAAAAGGUCAGAGGUGGUAAGAUAUUGCAAGCUUAGUAAGGUCAAAAAAAGGAAAGGAAAAGAAUACAGGAAAAGGUCAUGAAAAGAAGGUCGGAGGUGGUAAGAUGUUGCAAGCUAAGUAAGGUCAAAAAACGGAAAUGAGAAGAAAAGAAUUCGUGCUUUUAAGGUUAUGAGUGAGGUUAUGAGGGAGAGAAUGUCAGGUCAUGGGAUAAGGAGGUGAAGAAGGGUCGGUUUAGUGAGAGAAUAUGCUUUUAAUUAUUUUUUAUUGUUCUUAAUCAGAGUAUUCUUUGUUAUGAGUUGGAUGAGUAUAAUUUAGUCACUAUUAAGUUAAGGCAUUCAUGUAUAGUUUUCAUCUUACUUGGGUUGCAAUGCUUUCUCAUCUCAGACUUUUCUCUCAUUUAAUUUUUUGUACCGUCAUUUUAAUCGUCAUUCACAUCAGUCUCCCUUCUGUCC